CUCUCUCUCUCUCUCUCUCUCUCCAAAUCUCCACGCUCGUCCUGCUCUUAUUCUUCCUCUUCAACACCAAAACUCCAAUCCCCUUCUCUUCAAACCCUAACAUCUCAUCUCUACAUUCCCUUCCUUCACACUCCUGGAUCGUGCCAAUCUCGCAGGUACGUUAUUCACCAUUUCCUUCGCGCUUCUCUCCUUCGAACGUGCUCUUCAAAACGAGGAUUCUAGCUCGAUCGCCGAUCAAAAAGUUAUAGGUUUUCUAAUCUUCUAGAUUUGCAAAUCGUUGAAAUUUCAGCGUUUCUGUUCGAAUCGGUUGUGGAAAUCGAUAAUAAGAAGAGGAGACUAUUGAUCAAAAGGCAAUUGGUGGAAAGCAAAAGAGGCAGAAAAUUUCAAUUAGACAUGCUGAUCACAAGGAUCCAACGGCCAUAGCUUGCAUUAACGAUCUCAGGCCAGUCGAAUCCAGUUCUUGGAGCAUUUGGUAACUCUAAAAUAUUACGAAUAACAAUUCCAGGCUAUUAUCAUUUUGCAGGAAUAUUUUAGACCAAUGAAAUUUCAAUAUAACUGAAAUGGACAGACAACCAAAGGAAGCAGAAGAGUCCGAAGUGGAAGAUGCUUUAAAUGUGACUAAAAUGGAAGGACAACUGGAGGAAGAAGAAGAUGCUUCACAUGUGACUAGAAUGGAAGAACAACAGGAGGAAUCAUGUAAUUCUUCAGGCUAUAUGUUAGCAUAAGUGUAUUUAGUUCUUAACUUCUAACAUCUUGAUUUAUGUUGAAAUUUAAGCUUUCAAUCCAAUGAGAAUAAAGCCUGGUGGGUCAUUGCAAGACCAAAUUGUGUACAAUGUGGACAAUAUAGUUGAUGACUGCCCUCAGUUUGAAAAUAGUACAAAUGGCUUGUUUGGAUUUUCCAAUUGGUGCCUAACAAUGAAGAGAUGGGAUGAGAUUAGUGCAUUGUUUGGCAAGUCAGGGUACUUUUUUCUUAUUUCAGCUUUUGUUUCCAAUCAAAGUAUUGUAUUAGCAGAUAUUGUUUUCUUUAUUAUUAUUAUUAUUAUUAUUAUUAUUUGGUAACUUUCUAUCUUUAUGUUCCUAAUUUAUGUUGCGCAUGAAGUUAUUUGGAAAUGUUGUAUAUAUUAUUAGCAAGCAUUACUUUUCAUUUUCUUUUUUUAAAAUUGAAUUGUUUUAAGUUGUUGAAGCAUGUGGUUCCUUCUCUGUGUUUUUACUAUGGAUGCAGAGUUGCUUGUAUAUGAGAUGAAAUCAUUUUUCAACCAAACAGGACCUUGAAAGUUACUACCUACCAUACUACUUUUUCCUAAAGGAGUCAAUCAGGAUGUGGCCUUCUUGCAUAUUUUGUUUCAUGUAGCUUUGCAAUUUGGUCAGGCAUGCAGGAGCAUUUACAAGUCCAGUCCAUAGGCUAUGGACCUGAGUCUAGGUCCAGCCCUCCCUGUCCAUGAGCCAAGGAAUCAGGUCCCAGUUCUUGAGAAUGUUUACUGGAAGGACCUCAACUUUCUCGUCUUUGUCUGGAUUGCAUUCCUUGCACUAUAGAUUGCCAAGGAGAGCUCUCUACUAUGUCUCAUUUUCAUGUUAGCUUAUACAAAGGUAGAAGAGUGAUUGCUGCUUUUGAAUGUGUUGACACAUUGCUGGAUAGCGGCCUUGAUCAAGUGAACCCCUCAUCUUUCAUUGUUCCGUACCUUAAAUCCAGUUUGGAUGGUGAGUACUCAAAUAUGCUUCUGUGUAAUUGUUUAAGGCAUUGAAAUGAAAUCUUUUAUACUUCCACCUCUCAAAAAAAAAAAAAAAACCUUUUAUUCUUCCCAUGAUUGGCAUGGGAGUUGCUUGUCUACUAUUCCCAUGUUUAAUUAACACGAUGCUAUUGUUUGUCAGAUGUUGUCUCAAAGCUUAUCAUCCUGAAUGUGUGGGGCAAGGAUUCCACAUUCUUGGAGACGGGCAAUCGAUGGACUUGUAGUACGCCUCUUCCUACUCCAUAUGCUUGCUUUUUUUCCCUCCCUUUUUUUAGGGUUGUCUUGCCUUCUUCUUCUUCUUCUUCUUCUUUUGCUGUUGUUUUAUGUGAGAUUUUUCAGUGAUUCACUUGUCAAGUUGUUGAGUGGGUUGACUUUUUUGUCGAAUAUUUUGAAACCAAUAAGUGUGGAACAAUAUAGUACUAGAAAAUUUCCAUGCCUGUAAGAUGCACUUUUAGUUGUCCUUGUGGAAUAAAUUUUGCUCAUCUUUGGGGGUUGAAUUAUUCUCACCCAAUAUUGAAGAGUUCCAGGUCAUUUGCGGUGGGGAUAUACAGUUGGUAGAUCAAGUUACAGUCUAUGAACUCUCUAGAUUGUUUGCUCAAAUUUGCCACCCUCAAAUUGAUUCUUCUCAAUGAAGUUGCAGUUUAUGAACCCUCCAGAUUCUGAAGAACUGUGGAAAUUAGAAGUGCACAAGUUAGCGACAUGCAACUACCAUCUUGUGAUUAAAAAUUCCUUUAUACAUAUGCAAUGAUCUUUUGAAUGGAGAAAAACAUGGUCACCCAAAAGGUUAAAAGAUAUCUAGCAUUGAUUUCUCUUUACAAAGUAAGCUGGUAGUGGAUCGCUACAUUUCAACGAUGACAACUUUCUUGUCUAAUCAAUCUACUUCUCAUGCCUUCCAAUUGAACAAAUUUGUGGAUGUUCCAGAACUAGUUCAUACCAUCCCAUUGUCAUCAUUUCUUCUUUCACUUCAUUUGUUUAAUUGAUUGAGUUUUUCUGGAGGAUUAUUGAAGUUAUGUUUCUUUUUUUCCUUCCUUUUUCAUCUUUGCUAUUUUCUUAUAAAUCCAGUGGUGUGGAUUAAGGGUAUUUUU